CAAUUGAGGAUUUGCCCGCUGGGGAACC
rnacentral:piRNA from 1 species